rnacentral:rRNA from 1 species
GCCUAACACAUGCAAGUCGAACGGCAGCACAGGAGAGCUUGCUCUCUGGGUGGCGAGUGGCGGACGGGUGAGGAAUACAUCGGAAUCUACUCUGUCGUGGGGGAUAACGUAGGGAAACUUACGCUAAUACCGCAUACGACCUACGGGUGAAAGCAGGGGAUCUUCGGACCUUGCGCGAUUGAAUGAGCCGAUGUCGGAUUAGCUAGUUGGCGGGGUAAAGGCCCACCAAGGCGACGAUCCGUAGCUGGUCUGAGAGGAUGAUCAGCCACACUGGAACUGAGACACGGUCCAGACUCCUACGGGAGGCAGCAGUGGGGAAUAUUGGACAAUGGGCGCAAGCCUGAUCCAGCCAUACCGCGUGGGUGAAGAAGGCCUUCGGGUUGUAAAGCCCUUUUGUUGGGAAAGAAAUCCAGCUGGCUAAUACCCGGUUGGGAUGACGGUACCCAAAGAAUAAGCACCGGCUAACUUCGUGCCAGCAGCCGCGGUAAUACGAAGGGUGCAAGCGUUACUCGGAAUUACUGGGCGUAAAGCGUGCGUAGGUGGUCGUUUAAGUCCGUUGUGAAAGCCCUGGGCUCAACCUGGGAACUGCAGUGGAUACUGGGCGACUAGAGUGUGGUAGAGGGUAGCGGAAUUCCUGGUGUAGCAGUGAAAUGCGUAGAGAUCAGGAGGAACAUCCAUGGCGAAGGCAGCUACCUGGACCAACACUGACACUGAGGCACGAAAGCGUGGGGAGCA